AUAAACAUACUGCAUAGAAUUCCAGAUAAAACCUUCUAUUCAGAUUAACAGGCUAUAACAUGCCAUUUCUUCUAAGAAUAAUGAAUCAAUAGAGCACCACAUCCUCACCAAUUAACAAAAAGAUGUUCAGGGAAGGGAAAAAAAGACGGUAAAAAAAAAUGAAGGCAAAGUCACUUACCGUUUCUUGUGUCGCUUUGUCUUGAAAUGCUCGUCCCUCACCGACUCAUUAGCAAAGUAACGGCUGUAAACAAGAUUAAGAACAAUCAACAUAUCAAAACCAUACCCAUAUCAUUUUUUAAACAAAGCACCAUAAAAGAAGUCCCAACCCUCACUUCUGUUACUAAAAGCCAAUUAACAAUAACCUAAGUUGCAGCAUUGACAAUUUAAGCCUGGUAACAGUUAACCAUAAAGUUCUGCAUACUACAAUUACUUUUCCUUCAAUUUCUCAUCAACCCAAAGAAGUAUAUACAAACAAACAUAACUAAAAUAAAAAUGAAAACAUACUCGCAGUGUAAGCAAUAAUAUUGGCCCAUUCCAGGCAAAUCCUCGUCAAAAGGCAAGGGAUUCUUUGCGGAAUCUGACCUUUGAAGCUCAUCAUAAACGGCAUCGUCGCGUAAACACAAAUUCUCAGUCAAGAAAACAGAAACACAAUAGAAAAUAUUCCACUAAAUAAAAUACAAAAAAUUAAAUUCGAUAAUUUAGUAAAUAAAAAAGGAUAUCUUUGCGUAGGAAUUUUGCCAGGCGAGCAGUCUUGUGAGAGUAUCUUCUCUUCUUCACUUUCCGGUUUGGGCACUUACCCAUUUCUUGGGAGUGAUAGUCAGUUGUUGAGAAAGUCAAAAUUAGGGUUUUUAGGUUCUGUUGAUAAACCCUAGUGGAUUGAUCCGAGUGACCUAAAGGAGAGAGGAUCCCGAACCGUUUGUGGAUUUCUUAUUUACUCAUAAGAUGGAGGAAAAAGCGGCGUCGUUUUGUAUGGGAAAACCACUGCGUCCUUGAAGUUUCAUCCAAAAAAAUAGUCAUUCAGGCUGGCAAUCUGUCGGGUCAGGCUCAGGCUCGAACUCGAUAACACAAACAAAAUGGUUUGAAUUCGACAAAAAGUUCGAUUUUUCUCCUUCAAGCCGGGCUUGGCCCGACUCUAAUUGGGUCAGG
rnacentral:lncRNA from 1 species